CAGCAGCCGCGGGAAUACGUAGGUCCCGAGCGUUGUCCGGAUUUAUCGGGCGUAAAGCGAGCGCAGGCGGUUAGAUAAGUCUGAAGUUAAAGGCUGUGGCUUAACCAUAGUACGCUUUGGAAACUGUUUAACUUGAGUGCAAGAGGGGAGAGUGGAAUUCCAUGUGUAGCGGUGAAAUGCGUAGAUAUAUGGAGGAACACCGGUGGCGAAAGCGGCUCUCUGGCUUGUAACUGACGCUGAGGCUCGAAAGCGUGGGGAGCAAACAGGAUUAGAUACCCCCGUAGUCCCUGUCUCUUAUACA
rnacentral:rRNA from 1 species